CCUGUUUAGGUCUGUGUAGAAACCCAAAGGCUGGCCGGCCUCAUAAAUCCUCUAGACAUUACUGGUGUGGACACUCUGGCUGGAUGCCAUGGGAACGCUGCACAGAAAUAGAAAGGAGAGAAACACAUCGACGCUCUGGAUGUCGGGUGGGCUUCAGGCUCCGUUUGCCCAUCCUAGAUGCGGGGGUGGAGGGAGGCACUCAAGUGACUCUACUGGAUCACAUUAUGCUAAUCGUCUUUCGUCUGUGAGAACAGUGUCUAGUUACGCAUGUCUGUUUACUCCGUUUACUCCGUUACGGUUACUCUUAGCAGUGCUUGCGUUGGCGUUGGACUCACCAGGAUGUGACUUCAUCAUGUUCAGUUACACAGGAGCUCGGAAAGGCAGGUCCCAAAGCCGACAACUGUGUUCAGCAGUGAACCUCCUCUGAAAAGCGACCCACGGUGUGGCUUCUCUUCAACUCCAUUCCUUGUGUGGAAAAGACCUCAUUUUCAUGUGGUUGAAAAUGUGGUCUUUGGAAGAACUGACCUUGCUUAAUGAAGUCAGACUGAAUUAUAAACUAAGAAUUGGGUUUUUUUUUUGUUCAGAACAACUAGAAGGCCAACGUGGAGGAAUGGCUGGACAUGAUCCAUGGAGGGCCACCCAGCAGUUUGGAUGAAGAGUCUGGAUUAGAAACUUGGAAUUUUCAUGUCAUCCUCCCAAACUCUGCAAACCUGGUCCACGAAACCAAAGUUUUCUAAGACUUUGAAGCCCAAAGGUGUGUGGUGAGCACAGGCAUGGGGUGUGCUUUCACCUGAGGGGUCCUCCCUGGGCACAGGGGCCAGAAGUGGGAUACUUUAAUGAAAUCAUUAACAUUCGUUGGAGCAGAGUUAGAACUAAAAAUUGUCUUACCACAACUUAUUCUAAUUUACAACAUAUCCUAAUCCAGAUAAGCAGGGAAGUGCUAUUCACCCUAAUCCCAUUCAUGCCAGUGAACAACAGAUACAAAAUGCACUAUAAGGUCUAUCCCACAUCAUAGCUCGUAUGUCACAUACUUAGAAAAUCAGCGAUGAUUACCCAUGGAAAACAGAAGGCAUUCUUUUUUUAACAAAACUGGAGAGUCUAUCUUGGCACUGUACAAUAAAGAGGAAGCUAAACCAGGAAAGGUAUUCCCAGGAAAGAAGCAAAUACCGAGGUCCUCAUCACAGGACCUGUGAGUAAUGCAGUUCUCUGUGCUUCAGUGGGAGGAGGAUUAUCCAGAAGGACCCGGGA
rnacentral:lncRNA from 1 species